CAACUUUUAACAACGGAUCUCUUGGUUCUCGCAUCGAUGAAGAACGUAGCAAAGUGCGAUAACUAGUGUGAAUUGCAUAUUCAGUGAAUCAUCGAGUCUUUGAACGCAACUUGCGCUCAUUGGUAUUCCAAUGAGCACGCCUGUUUCAGUAUCAAAAC
rnacentral:rRNA from 11 species